GACGAACGCUGGCGGCGUGCUUAACACAUGCAAGUCGAACGGAAAGGCCCUGCUUGCAGGGUGCUCGAGUGGCGAACGGGCGAGUAACACGCGGGUGAUCUGCCCCUUACUUUGGGAUAAGCCUGGGAAACUGGGUCUAAUACUGGAUAGGACCAUGCUGUAGGUGGUGUGGUGGAUAGUUUAGUUUCGGUAAGGGAUGAGCUCGCGGCCUAUCAGCUUGUUGGUGGGGUAAUGGCCUACCAAGGCGUCGACGGGUAGCCGGCCUGAGAGGGUGGACGGCCACAUUGGGACUGAGAUACGGCCCAGACGCCGACGGGAGGCAGCAGUGGGGAAUAGUGCACAAGGGGCGCAAGCCUGAUGCAGCGACGCCGCGUGGGGGGUGACGGCCUUCGGGUUGUAAACUCCUUUCAGCCAUGACGAAGUCCUUGUGGUGACGGUAGUGGUAGAAGAAGCACCGGCUAACUACGUG
rnacentral:rRNA from 1 species